CGGCUAACUCUGUGCCAGCAGCCGCGGUAAUACAGAGGUCCCAAGCGUUACUGAGAAUCACUGGGUUUAAAGGGUGCGUAGGUGGCGCGUUAAGUCCGUUGUGAAAUCCCUUGGCUCAACCAAGGAACUGCUUCGGAUACUGGCGUGCUUGAGGCCGGUAGAGGUCACUGGAACUGACGGUGGAGCGGUGAAAUGCGUAGAUAUCGUCAGGAACGCCGGUGGUGAAGACGGGUGACUGGGCCGGUUCUGACACUGAGGCACGAAAGCGUGGGGAGCGAACGGGAUUAGAUACCCCGGUAGUCCACGCCCUAAACGAUGCAGACUAGAU
rnacentral:rRNA from 1 species